AUAACGAAAUACUUCGAAAUACGCUGUUUUCCAGCCCAAAACUUUCCUACCCAUUAAAAAAUAAUAAACAAUACUUACGUGCAAAGUUUCCGAACAUACGAUAAAAUCACAUGUAUAAACAGAACAUGUAUAUAUUAGCGAUCACUGCACUCUAUGCAGUUGUAGCUACGUGUUGUGAGUAUAUUGUAGUUAUACUAUCUGUUGUACAUUUCUUUUCCCACGUUUUUUGAUCGGAACCAAGAUGCCUUGCGGAGGAUGUGGCGAUGGUUGCAAAUGCACCACAACACAGUGCUGCCAGACUUGCAAAUGCGAUAAGUCCUGUUCCUGUAACUGUAAGCGGUCCACCGACGCUUCUACAGCCACCACGAAGAAGUAGAAACAACAAUAAAACAAUUUAUAAUUAAAUUUAUCAUUUCAUUAUGUAAUUAAAAUUACAAUUGAUUCAUAUCCUGCAGGUGUUAACUUCCAUGUAAAGAUGUUUUUACACGGCAAUUCAUUUUGUUAUUACGUAACUUCGUAAGUAUACAGUAUUUAAGUUAUUUACACAUCGAAUAAAUGUAUCAGUUAAAUUCUUGUUAA